UACGGGGGGAGCAAGCGUUGUUCGGAUUUACUGGGCGUAAAGGGCGCGUAGGCGGCCACCGCAAGUCAAUUGUGAAAUCUCCGGGCUUAACUCGGAAAGGUCAACUGAUACUGCGGGGCUAGAGUGCGGAAGGGGCAACUGGAAUUCUCGGUGUAGCGGUGAAAUGCGUAGAUAUCGAGAGGAACACCUGCGGCGAAGGCGGGUUGCUGGGCCGACACUGACGCUGAGGCGCGAAAGUGUGGGGAGCGAACAGG
rnacentral:rRNA from 1 species